rnacentral:rRNA from 1 species
AUACUGGAUUCAAUGAGCCUACUAAUUGGAAUGUGUACAAUAUAAAUCCAUUAAUGAGGAUCCAUUGGAGGGAAAGUCUUAUGCCAGCUGGAAUGGUAAUUCCAUCUCCAAUAGCAUAUAUUUUAGUUAUGGCAGUUAAAAAGAUCGUAGUUGUACUUUGGGAUGGGCUAGUUGGUCCGCCUAUGGAGUGCACCGAUCAUCUCAUCCCUUCUUUCAGCGAUGCGCUCCUGGUGUUAAUUGGCUGGGUCAUGCCUCAAGCACUCUUAGUUUGAAGAAAUUUGAGUUCCCAAAGCAAUACUACGCUAUGUAUACAUUAGCAUCAGAUAACAUUAUAGGAUUUUAGUCUUAUUAUGUUGGCCUCCAGAAUCGGAGUAAUGAUUAAUAGGGAUAGUCAGGGGCAUUCGUAUUUCAUAGUCAAAUGUGAAAUUCUUUGAUUUAUGAAAUACUAACAACUUCAAAUGAAUUAGCCAAGGAUGUUUUCAUUAAUUAAGAAUAGAAGUUGGGGGCUCAAAGAUGAUUAGAUACAGUCCUAGUCUCAACCAUAAAUAAUGCCGACUAGGGAUUGGCAUAUGUUGCUUUUAGGACUUUGCCAACACUUUAUGAGAAAUCAAAGAUUUUGGGUUUUGGGGGGAGUAUGGUGGAAAGGAUAAAACUUAAAGGAUUUGAUGGAAGGGAACCACCACGAGUGAAGCCUGUGUCUUAAUUUGACUCAAUACGGGGAAACUUAUAGGUCCAGGCAUAGUAAGGAUUGACAGACUAAGAGCUCUUUCUUAAUUCUAUAGGUGGUGGUGCAUGGUCUUUCUUAGUUGGUGGAUCAAAUUGUCUACUUAAUUUCAUUAAAGAACGAGACCUCAGCAUUCUAACUAGCUACGCAGAGGUAUCCCUUCGCUUCCAGCUUCUUAGAAGGACUAAGACCUUUUAGGCCCCAGAAGUUUGAGGCAAUAACAGGUCUGUGAUGCCCUUAGAUGUUCUAGGCCGCACGCGUGCUACACUGAUGUAUUCAAUGAGUUUAUAGCCUUGGUUGAUAGGCCAAGCUAAUUUUUAAAUUUUAUCAUAAUGGGGAUAGAUCAUUGCAGUUAUUGUUCUUCAACGAGGAAUUCCUAGUAAGUGCGAGUCGUCAUCUCACGUUGAGUAUAAUCCCUGCCCUUUAUACACAUCGCCCGUCGCUCCUACCGAUUGAAUGAUUGGGAAAAUAUUUUUAUUAUGGUGAUGUGGGCAUUUUUCUGCAAGCGACGUUGUGAGAAGUCCACUGAAUAUUAUCAUUUAAAGGAAGGAGAAUUCCUCACAAGGAUUCUGUAGGUAAACCUGUGGAAA